rnacentral:lncRNA from 1 species
GAAAUGACAAGGGGAAACACUCAAGAACAAGUCCAAUCACACAUCCACUAGACAAUCAAACACACAAGAUCACAAGGUACAUGAACAACAAAUGAAAAGAUAUAAGGUAAGGUUCAUAUUCAAGAGGAGGUCUUGAUGAUAUCCUAGACGGAUCUUCCCACGAGGGGGUCUUGAUGAUUUCCCACAGGAUCUUCUCCUAGAUGGAGGUCUUGGCCUCCAAUGGAGUAGUGGUCUCUCUCUCUCUCUCAAGAGUAGAGAGAGGUAGGAGCAAAGCUCAUAUACAAAUGAGCUAUCACUUUGCUAACCCUAACUAGAGGAAGGGGAUGGAGUAUAUAUAGGCUAGUCCACGAAGGGGUAAGUGAGGAGGGGAUACAUGGGCCUCUGGCCCGUCUCUGCACGCAGGCAGGCGCCGGAUGUCUAGGCUGGGGCCCGGAUGCCCGGGCUCUCGUGAGACGCCGGAUGUCCGGGACAGUUGGCCGGAUGUCCGGCCCGAAGUGGCCAAGCUACUGGAUAGGGGCGCCAGAUUUCCGGGGGAGAACGCCGGAUGUCCGGUGGUUGCCGAGGCACCGGAUGUCCAGGAACACGGGCCGGAUGUCCGGACGCUGAUCCUUUGGCCGUCUUGUUGGUGCAGCUCCUCGGAGGCUGCACAGGCGCCGCAUGUUCGGCCUCUGGCCCGGAUGUCCGGCCGCUGUAGCUUCAGCAGCUCUGUCUUCUUCCGUCGUUGCUUCCAGGCUUCCCUCGCGGAUGGUGUAGUUGUUCCUUGGAGCUUUCACUCCUCCUCGACAUCCGUGAAGCUUCGACAAUACCUAUGCAUGCACACGGGAGAAGUGUCAAGUAGUAUACCAUCCUCGAAGGGGUCAAGUGAGCACGUGUAAAGGAGAAGAUUCACCUUUAUGUAUGAGAAGUAGAGGUCGCACGUGUCACUUGCCAAAUGGACUCUUGACAUGGUGAUGACCAUAGGAUGCUCCACAUCAUCCCCUCCCUCUUGGAAAAGAUCCGACCUCGGAUCGAAAACCAAAUCACCAUGGGAAAGAGAUGGCGGUGCCGUGAAGAAGUGGUCGAUCACCAAGCACUCAUCGUCUAGUAGCUCGAAAUGGGCACUCGCCAAUGUCACACCGUUUUGCGGUUCCUUCAAAAGGAGAAAAUAGAACAAACACUUGGAAAAACAAAUGUGGUUAGCGUUAGUGCAAAACCAAGCAUUCAAGAGGUGAUUCACCAAACAAGUGUCGUCAUCAAUCAUAGCAUAGGGUGUGACAAAGGAUUGUGACAUGACAUGUAAGCAUAUGAAUUGAGCAAAAUCAAGGUCAUCAUGGAAACAAGCAUGUAAAUGUGAGGUAGAGAUGCAAAUAUGUGUGACAAGAGAAUAAGCAUCUACCUCAAGGUCAUAGCAAACAAGCAUCAAGCACUCAAGGAAAGGUCUAUGGUAGGAAUAAGAAUUAUUCACAACACCAAAGAAAAUGAAGUGUCUAAACACAUGGGACAAGUGCAAGACAAUCCAAGCAUAACGUGCAUAGGGUGUAGUGAAUAUAGUGUGGCACUCAACAUAAUAGGAAGAGCAAUUGUUCAUCAUGUGUGAGGCAAUCAAGUCAAGCAUGUGACAAGCAAUGGGACAAGGCAUAUGUGAAGAAGUGACAUUGUUGCGACCAAACAUAUGAUAGUAGCAAGUAGUCCAAGAAUUGGAUGCAACACACAAGGUAUAUAUGUCAUGAGGCAUGGAAAUGUAAAAAUGAUAAGUCGAAGCAAGAUCUCUAACAUGUGCGCAAUCAAGUGGUCUAAGAUGACCAACAAGUCUCAUGGUGCAAGCAACACAAGUAGUAUGAUCCACAAUAUCCAAGCUCAAGAAAGAUGUCACCUUGAAGGCAUGACCUUGUGCAUUCUUCACAAUGCCGAAGUGGUAGGCUAUAUGGUGUAGAAGAGAGUCAUGGUUGAAUAUAUGAGGCUCGCUUUCAAGAGCUCGAAUGGUUAACUCACAUGAAGUGGAAGUCGACACAGUCCAAGUAUCCUACACAUGCACAAAACAAAACAAAGAAUGUAUGGGCAUGGUAGAUAAACACAUCAUCCAUCAUGAUGGUUCUCUUCUCUUGCACAUAACCAUUAGAAGAACAAGCUCAAGAAUAAUAUGAUGCAGCAAUGGCUAUAUUCAUGGCACUAGGCAUAUGGUGCAAAGAGGUAAGACAAGCAUGCUUCACAAGUGAAUAUGUCAAAAUCUCCAAAUAUAUGUGAGAAUGAUAUGGGGGCAAUCUCAUGAGCAAGACUAUAAGCAUUGUUGCACUCAAUACAUGGCAAGUCAUCUAGCAUGAGAGAGGCAACACAUGGAGAUAUAUGACAAGAAGCAAUAUGAAUCAUGUGCAAAGCAUAUAGAUGGUUGUCAUCAACCGCAUGAAAUGAGAAAGUAUGAGUCAUUGGUGAUGCAACAUAAGCAAGCAUAGUAAUCAAGUCAUGCAAACUAGUGGAGCGAAGAUGCAACACCCUAGAAGAAAUCAUGGCAAUCAUGUCAUGUGAGCAAAUAAUAGGCAUCGGGAAUGCACAUGACAUAUCACAAGCACGAACACAAAGCAAGAUGAAAGUAUCAUCAUAGGAAUGGUGCACAAAAGGAACAUGGCAAGAACAAGCAAUAUCUCCACCAAGCUUACAAAUACACAUACAAGUACUAGAAUCAAUCAUCAUGUGUAAUGCAAAGCAUGGGUCACAAAUGCAUGUCAAAGGCAUAGGAAUGAGCAUAUCAUGAAAAGUGAACAUGGCAAGAUGGGCAAAUGAUAUAUAAUGGGCAAUAAGCCAUAACCAUGUGAGGGACAUGUAGAAGAAAUGCGCGAAUUGUUUGCGCAAAGAGAGCAGUGGGAAAGACAAUCCACGUGAUCCCAAGUCAUCAUUGCUCUCUAGAGCUCGUUUUUUCAACUCAUGGGAUUGUGAGGUUGACAAGUAUUCAUGGCCACCUACACAAAAGAGACAAAAAACAAAGAAAUUGUGUGCGUGGUAAAUGUACACAUCAUCCAUCAUGAUGUGUAUGUGCACAUGUGAGUUAGCACAAGAUAAGUAUCGCUCAAAGAAAUUUGAUGCAUGGUAUAUGAACAUGUCAUCCAUCAUGAAAGAAUAGUUAUUAUGUAUGACACGAUGGGGACACAAAUUGAGAAUGCAAGUAUAUGGCACAUCAAUAGCAUGUUUGUUCAUGGGAGCAUAUGGUGCACACAAGUAUUGGGAUCAUGCAAUGAAUGGGAUUGAUCAAAUUCUCCUAACAUGUAUGAGGAAACUAUGGGGGUCUCCUCAUGAGCAAUAUCGGAAACAUCAUAUGGAGAAAAUGGACAACAUCCAAAACAAUGAAUAUCCAAAGCUAGGUGGUCAUGGCAUGGCAUAUGAGAUGAAUGAUUAAAAGGUAGCAUAUCAAUAUCAUCACAAGAAAAACAAGUGCCGAUAACCAUGGGCAUGUCAUCUAUGCCAUAUGUGCAAAUUGGGUUUAUUUUAACGGCAUAUGCAUAGUCACUAUGAAGAGAUUUCAAAUAAGACAUAUGAUGGAUCUCAUGCAGAGCAUAUGACAAGUCAAGCAGAUUAUCAAACAUGAUGUGACCUAAAGAAUUGUCACAAGAAAUCCUAUGUAACAUGGCAUCACUACUAAUAGACUCCACAUGAGAAUCAUCAUAUUCAUCAUAAAUGGGAAAAUCAUCACAUGGGGAAAUCAUACUAGCAUGAAGCAAGGUACUAGGUGGAACAACAUGAUGCAAGCAAUUAAUGUUAAGAAUGUCCACUAGAGGGACUAGAGCAUCACCUUCACCUAUGUUACCUUUUUCAUUCCACUCAAGUGGUGUAGGUGAGGUGGGAAAGAUCAAAUGGUGGUUAUCUUCAUCUUGAUGGAACCAUGUGGGGGGUGCAUCAUAUUCCACCAUGGCCAUCGUCUUGUCCAAAGGGAUGAUGAAGUCGUCGAGGAUCGGCGCGUCAUCAUAAAUGGGACCUAGCACCAAAUGAGAAGACACAAUAGAGGUAGAGGUCAAGUUGUUAGAAAUGCAAAUGGUCUCACGAGACCUAUUAACUAUCUCACUCUCUCUAUGUGGUGGUUCACUCACUCCCUCAAAAUAGGUGCACUCAAAGUCGCAUAUGGUGGAGUCACUCAUCUCACUCAAGUGGUGUGGGUUGUGGCUCUCCUCACAUGGGAAUUGGGGCAACUCGUCAUAUAUGGGGAUAGUGGUGAAGUCACUCUCACUCUCAAUAUGGUGGCAAAAGUCACUCAAGUCAUCAUACAUCGCCGUGGUCGAAGGGAGAAUCCCAUGCUCAACCGUCUCGUCGUCGUCACCGUGGAUGAAGGCCUAAGAUGGCACAUCAUCACUCUCCUUCAUGACCGAAGGGAAAAUCCCAUGCUCGAUGAUCUCGCCGCCGUCACCGUGGAUGAAGGCCGAAGAUGGCACAUCAUCACUCACGCCUCCUAAGAUGGAAGCAUCAUCCUCGCUCGCCACCUUGUCGCCUGCCUCCAAAGCUUGGUCCUUGAGGGUCUCCGUAGUCGUACUCGUCGCCACACCGUCUUGAAAAAGAGUCAAAGUAGACUCAGCACCAUCAAUGCCACAAAGAGGGAUGGCGGUGAAGUCGAACUUGGGAGCAUCAUCUUGGAGCUCGUCAGGCUUGGAAAUCUUGGUGGUACUAGCCUCAUGCUCAUUCUCAUGGAGAUUGGUCGCCGUGAAGUUUGCUUCGGGUGGAGAAUCCUUGGCCUUCAUGAGUUCUUGUUCCACCUUGAGAGCACCAAUGUAGUAGUCGUCGAUGGACUUGUAGUUCUCGAGGAAAAUAGUCUUGGAGAUGUUGUUGUGCAAUCCCAUCAUGAAGUGGAACUUCAUCGAAAUGGGGUCGUCCACGCCGACUCGUCGCAAGGCAAUCUUCAUCUCCUUGAAGUACGCGUCGAUGGACUUGGAUCAUUGGAUGGUGUUCUCCAAUUGGCGUCGAAGUUGUUCUGUGUAGGUUGGAGGCACGAACUCUCGCCGCAAAGAUCUCCUCGUCUUGGGCCAACUCAUGUCGUAGUACUCCGAAGGUGUGUGAAGCCACCAUGCCCACUAGCGGAGGGCUCCGGUGGGCAGGGUAUGGCACCCGCAAUACCUUGAUUUUUGGCAAAAAAAAUUAUACCUAUGUAUUUGUCGCUUUUGACCUGGACAUCGGCUCGACCGCUCGAGAGCCUCGACAUAGCCCACUCAAACCCACCAACGCGACACCCACCCAGACCCAAACGCGACCAAACCUAGCGCGGCGGCGGCGGCUGGCCAGGUCGUGAGGACCAGGCGGACGCGACGACGGGCAGUCGACGGCGGCAAUGGGCUGGGGGCUUGGAGGGCUGCUGCACAGCGGCACCUUCAGCAGCGGCUCCAGGCCUCCCGCGGCGCAGCAAGCGGCGACUCCAGGCCUCCAGCGGCGCAUCAAGCGGCGGCUCCGGCGGCGGCCGCAGCUGCAGCUCUGUCGACGGCUUCACCAGCGGCUCCAGUGGGCGACGACGAGAGCCGGAGUCGGGGAUUUUUCUGUUAAUCCCUAGGGUGUAGGGUCCGAACUCUGAACUUUGUUGGGUGUUGGCGUUUUUUCUUCUGUCAAUUCUCCAUUAUCUGAACCAGCGCUGUUCUGUCCAGAUUUCUAGAAGAUGGAAGGAAGGGGGAAGGGACUAGCAAAUUCAAAGAAAAGGGGAAGAGGUAAUUUCUCAUUUUUCUGAAAUUUUGUAGCAAUUUUGAAAAACAUCUUGAAGCGUUACAAUCCAGAAGAUUUUAGUGAUAUAUUAAUCUUGUCACUGCAGAUUUGAAAAGGUAUUUUGAAGUGAUUGUUAGUGACAGCAGCUCAAAAAGGAAUCUAAGCACCCGCGAAAGUGUCAAUAUUUCAGCAAAUGUCAAUCAUCAAGAUCAAGUGACUUCCACGGAAGUAGAUCAUGCAAAUUUGAUGCCAACCGAACAAGUGGAAGAACAAACUAUAGAUUCCGCCGAAGCUAUAGUGGAAGAGAAUGUUGAAGUUCACGGGAUUGAAGGUAUAACUAUUUUUAGUGAAGAUUACAUAAAGGGUGAUCCAGGACUUCGCAUUCCACUUGAUAGUUUUGCCCCCAACAUUAGAGAUGGUGUUAGAUUUGCUUAUAUACGAAUGGGUGCAACUCAACCAACUAGUUGCACUUUUCCCCCGAAUAGAGAUGGAAGAUGCUUCCCGCCACAAUGGUAUAAGGAUUUUGAUUGGUUCGAAUAUAGUGUAACAACACAUAAGGCUUAUUGCUUCUGUUGCUAUCUUUUUAAGCAUGACCGAAUAGAUGAUAAAUUUGGGCAUGAUGUCUUCUCCAAAUUGGGUUUUGACUGUUGGAAAAAUGCGGUUGCGGCAUUUCGUAAACAUGUUGGUGGGCCAUGUAGCAUCCACAAUAUAUCAAAAACAGCAUGCGAUGAUUUUAAAAAUCAAGGGGCAAGUGUGAAAAGUAAAGUUACAACUUACAGCCAAGGUUCACUUGUCAAGUAUGAAACUCGUGUGGAUACAUCUUUGGGCAUUGUAAGUUAUCUAGCAUUGCAAGGUGAACCAUUUCAUGGACAUGAUGAAUCCAGUUCUUCUUUGAACAAGGGGAAUUUUUUAGAGUUGCUUGAUUGGGUCAAAGAAAGAAUUCCAGAAGUGAAGGUUGCAUUUGAUGAGCUAUGUCCUCAAAAUGCCAAAAUGACUUCCGGGACAAUUCAAAAAGACCUUGUCAAACAUUGUGCAACUGUAGUCACCACAGUAAUCAAAGAAGAGAUGGGUGAUUGUCUUUUCACUGUUCUUAUUGAUGAGUGUUGUGAUAUAUCGGUGAAUGAACAAAUGGCCGUGGUUGUCAGGUAUGUAUUGAAGCAUGUUAAGUGUCUAUGUGUUUUUCCUUUUGUUAUAUGUAGAGUGGGUUAACUAAUUAUCUGACUACUUCUACAGGUAUUUGAACAAAAAAGGAAAGACCGUUGAAACAUUUUUAGCUAUUAAGCAUGUCCCAGACACAACAUCUGCCUCUUUGAAGAAGGCUUUGUUGGAGGUUUUUGCUAAACAUGGUCUAGUUGUUGCAAGACUACGAGGGCAAGGAUAUGAUGGGGCAUCUAAUAUGAGAGGAGAAUUCAAUGGAUUUCAGAAGUUAAUUCGAGAUGAGAACCCAUAUGCUUUUUAUAUCCACUGCUUUGCCCACCAACCGCAGUUGGUAGUUGUUGCUGUUUCGAGAUGUUGCAAGGGUGUGGAGGAUUUUUUUUGAAUAUGUGACAAUGAUUGCCAAUCUCAGUACUUCAUCGUGCAAGAGGAAGGAUAAAUUGCUUGACAAGCAAAAGGAAGAUCUUUUGGAUAAGAUUAAGAGAGGUGAGAUGCCCACAGGAAGAGGGAAAAAUCAAGAAACAUCGUUGGUCAGACCUGGAGACACAAGAUGGGGAUCUCAUUACACAACCUUAUCUCGCAUUGAAUCAAUGUGGGAUGCAGUCAUAGAAGUUUUGGGCAUUGUUGAGGAUGAUGUGCGUGUUCCAUGUAGGGCAGGAGGUUUGGUUCAUCAAAUGGAGACCUUUAGCUUUGUGUUCAUCCUAAAGAUGAUGCUAAAAAUCCUUCGUAUCACAAAUGAUUUAUCUCUUCUAUUGCAAAAGAAGGAUCAAAAUGUUGUUCAGGUAUGUGAAUAUGUGAUGGAUCGUGUUAGAUGUAUCUAGUAUGGUUGAUGUAUUGUGUUCAUGCAUCUAAAAUUAUAGGUAUCUCAUUUCAGGCAAUGUUAUUGGUUACAGAUGUGAGAACACGUUUGGUCAACUGGAGAAAUGAUGGUUGGGAGCCACUCUUGGAAGAUGUCAAAGUGUUUUGCACCAAAAAGGACAUUCCAAUACCAAGUAUGGAUGACAUCUUUACAAAGUGGGGUAAAUCAAGAAAAGGUGGACGAAACAAUGUCACGGCUGAUCAUUUUUUUCGUGUGGACACCUUCUAUGCUGCUAUAGACUCCAUCACCACGGAGUUUGAUCAUCGUUUUAAUGAGGUAUCUUCAGAGCUGCUCCAGAACUUCUCUUGUCUUGACCCAAGAAACUCGUUCUCUAGGUUCAACUUGAAUAAGCUUGCUAGGCUCAGAGAGAAUUAUCAUGAUGAUUUCUCUAACUAUGAACGUGAACAUAUAGAAGAUAACCUUGAUCUAUUCAUUAUCCAUAUGAGAAGAAUUGAAGACUUUAGAGCUUGUCAUGAUAUUGCAAUCUUAGCUAAAAUGAUGGUUGAACUUGAAAGGCAUGUCAUGUUUCCUACUAUUUAUCGCCUCAUUGAAUUGGCAUUGCUACUACCGGUAGCGACGACAACUGUUGAAAGGGCCUUCUCAUCAAUGAAAAUCAUCAAGUCUGAGUUGCGCAGCAAGAUGACAGAUGGUUGGCUUAAUGACUUGAUGGUUUGUUACAUUGAGCGAGAGAUCUUUAAAAGUAUAGAUCCUGGUAAAAUUAAGCAAGAUUUUCAGAAUGAGGGUAGGGCAUUGCCAUUGCCUGGGUCUUCUAGACGCCAAUGAAAGCUUCAUUAUCGGUAUGUUUUAGGUAGUUUUCCUAUUGAAAAAUGCCUAGAUUUUCAGUGUACUUGGUUUUUGGUUGUAAUGUGUAUUGACUCUUGCGAUUUGCAUCAAAAGAAUUCUUUCCUUAAGACUUCGCCACACCUUAAUUUUUUUCCGUCGUGGAAGUUUCUUGUGGCGCACUUAACUUGAUCUUCGGGACGAACUUGAUGUAGCUUGAGGUAGUCGUCCAUCAAACGCUCAAGAUCACAAGGUAAAUGAACAACAAAGGGAAAGAUACAAGGUAAGGUUCAUCUCCAAGAGGAGGUCUUGAUGAUAUCCUAGACGGAUUUUCCCACGAGGGGGUCUUGAUGAUUUCCCACAGGAUCUUCUCCUAGAUGGAGAUCUUGGCCUCCAAUGGAGUAGUGGUCAGAUAGGUAGGAGCAAAGCUCACAUACAAAUGAGCUAUCACUUUGCUAACCCUAACUAGAGGAAGGGGAUGGAGUAUAUAUAGGCUAGUCCACAAAGGGGUAAGUGAGGAGGGGAUACAUGGGCCUCUGGCCCGUCUCUACGCGCAGGCAGGCGCCGGAUGUCUGGGCUGGGGCCUGGAUGUCCGGGCUCUCAUGAGACGCCGGAUGUCCGGGGCGGUUGGCCGGAUGUCCGGCCCAAAGUGGCCAAGCUACUGGAUAGGGGCACCGGAUUUCCGGGGGAGAGCGCCGGAUGUCCGGUGGUUGCCGAGGCGCCGGAUAUCCGGGCACACAGGCUGGAUGUCCGAACGCUGAUGCUUCGGCCGUCCUGUUGGUGCAGCUCCUCGGAGGCUGCACAAGCGCCGGAUGUCCGGCCUCUGGCCCGGACGUCCGGCCGCUGUAGCUUCAGCAGCUCUGUCUUCUUCCAUCGUCGCUUCCAGGCUUCGCUCGCGGAUGGUGUAGUUGUUCCUUGGCGCUUUCACUCCUUCUCGACAUCCGUGAAGCUCCUACAAUACCUAUGCAUGCACACGGGAGAAGUUUCAAGUAGUGUACCAUCCUCGAAGGGGUCAAGUGAGCACGUGUAAAGGAGAAGAUUCACCUUUAUGUAUGAGAAGUAUAGGUCGCAUGUGUCACUUGCCAAACGGACUCUUGACAUGGUGAUGACCGUAGGAUGCUCCGCAUCAUCCCCUCCCCCUUGGAAAAGAUCCGACCUCGGAUCGAAAACCAAAUCACCAUGGGAAAGAGAUGGCGGUGCCGUGAAGAAGUGGUCGAUCACCAAGCACUCACCGUCUAGUAGCUCGAAAUGGGUACUCGCCAAUGUCACACCGUUUUGCGAUUCCUUCAAAAGGAGAAAAUAGAACAAACACUUGGAAAAACAAAUGUGGUUAGCGUUAGUGCAAAACCAAGCAUUCAAGAGGUGAUUCACCAAACAAGUGUCGUCAUCAAGCAUAGCAUAGGGUGUGACAAAGGAUUGUGACAUGACAUGUAAGCAUAUGAAUUGAGAAAAAAUAAGGUCAUCAUGGAAACAAGCAUGUAAAUGUGAGGUAGAGAUACAAAUAUGUGUGACAAGAGAAUAAGCAUCUACCUCAAGGUCAUAGAAAACAAGCAUCAAGCACUCAAGGAAAGGUCUACGGUAGGCAUAAGAAUUAUUCACAACACCAAAGAAAAUGAAGUGUCUAAACACAUGGGACAAGUGAAAGACAAUCCAAGCAUAACGUGCAUAGGGUGUAGUGAAUAUAGUGUGGCACUCAACAUAAUAGGAAGAGCAAUUGUUCAUCAUGUGUGAGGCAAUCAAGUCAAGCAUGUGACAAGCAAUGGGACAAGGCAUAGGUAAAGAAGUGACAUUGUUGCGACCAAACAUAUGAUAAUAGAAAGUAGUCCAAGAAUUGGAUGCAACACACAAUGUAUAUAUGUCAUGAGGCAUGGAAAUGUGAAAAUGACAAGUUGAAGCAAGAUCUAUAACUUGUGCGCAAUCAAGUGGUCUAAGAUGACCAACAAGUCUCAUGGUGCAAGCAACACAAGUAGUAUGAUCCACAAUAUCCAAGCUCAAGAAAGAUGUCACCUUGAAGUAUGGUGUAGAAGCGAGUCGUGGUUGAAUAUAUGAGGCUCGCCCUCAAAAGCUCGAAUGGUCAACUCACGUGAAGUGGAAGUGGACACAAAGUCCUAGUAUCCUACACAUGCACAAAACAAAUGUAUGUGCAUGGUAGAUAAACACAUCAUCCAUCAUGAUGGUUCUCCUCUCUUGCACAUAACCAUUAGAAGAACAAGCGCAAGAAUAAUAUGAUGCAACAAUGGCUAUAUUCAUGGCACUAUGCAUAUGGUGCAAAGAGGUAAGACAAGCAUGCUUCACAAGUAAUAUGUCAAAAUCUCCAAAUAUAUGUGAGAAUGCUAUGGGGGCAAUCUCAUGAGCAAGACUAUAAGCAUUGUUGCACUCAAUACAUGGCAAGUCAUCUAGCAUGAGAGAGGGAACACAUGGAGAUAUAUGACAAGAAGCAAUAUGAAUCAUGUGCAAAGCAUAUAGAUGGUUGUCAUCAACCGCAUGCAAUGAGCAAGUAUGAGUCAUUGGUGAUGCAACAUAAACAAGCAUAGUAAUCAAGUCGUGCAAACUAGUGGAGCAAAGAUGCAACACACUAGAAGAAAUCAUGGCAAUCAUGUCAUGUGAGCAAAUAACAGGCAUCGGGAAUGCACAUGACAUAUCGCAAGCACGAGCACAAAGCAAGAUGAAAGUAUCAUCAUAAGAAUGGUGCACAAAAGGAACAUGGCAAGAACAAGCAAUAUCUCCACCAAGCUUGCAAAUACACACACAAGUACUAGAAUCAAUCAUCAUGUGUAAUGCAAAGCAUGGGUCACAAAUGCAUGUCAAAGGCAUAGGAAUGAGCAUAUCAUGCAAAGUGAACAUGGCAAGGUGGGCAAAUGAUAUAUAAUGGACAAUAAGCCAUAACCAUGUGAGGGACAUGUAGAAGAAAUGUGUGAAGUGUUUGCACGAAGAGAGCGGUGGGACAGACAAUCCACGUGAUCCCAAGUCAUCAUUGCUCUCUAGAGCUUGUUUUGUCAACUCAUGGGAUUGUGAGGUUGACAAGUAUUCCUAGGUACCUACACAAAAGAGACAAAAACCAAAGAAAUUGUGCGCGUGGUAAAUGUACACAUCAUCCAUCAUGAUGUGUGUGUGCACAUGUGAGUUAGCACAAGAUAAGCAUCGCUCAGAGAAAUUUGAUGCAUGGUAUAUGAACAUGUCAUCCAUCAUGAAAGAAUAGCUAUUAUGUAUGACACGAUGGGGACACAAAUUGAGAAUGCAAGUAUAUGGCACAUCAAUAGCAUGUUUGUUCAUGGGGAGCAUAUGGUGCACACAAGUAUUGGGAUCAUGCAAUGAAUGGGAUUGAUCAAAUUCUCCUAACAUGUAUGAGGAAACUAUGGGGGGUCUCCUCAUGAGCAAUAUCGGAAACAUCAUAUGGAGAAAAUGGACAACAUCCAAAACAAUGCAUAUCCAAAGCUAGGUGGUCAUGGCAUGGCAUAUGAGAUGAAUGAUGCAAAGGUAGCAUAUCAAUAUCACCACAAGAAAAACAAGUGCCGAUAACCAUGGGCUUGUCAUCUAUGUCAUAUGUGCAAAUUAGGUUUAUUUUAAUGGCAUAUGAAUAGUUACUAUGAAGAGAUUGCAAAUAAGACAUAUGAUGAAUCUCAUGCAUAGCAUAUGACAAGUCAAGCGGAUUAUCAAACAUGAUGUGACCUAAAGAAUUGUCACAAGAAAUCCUAUGUAACAUGGCAUCACUACUAAUAGACUCCACAUGAGAAUCAUCAUAUUCAUCAUAAAUGGGCAAAUCAUCACAUGGGGAAAUCAUACUAGCAUGAAGCAAGGUACUAGGUGGAUCAACAUCAUGCAAGCAAUUAAUGUUAAGAAUGUCCACUAGUGGGACUAGAGCAUCACCUUCACCUAUGUUACCUUUUUCAUUCCACUCAAGUGGUAUAGGUGAGGUGGGAAAGACCAAAUGGUGGUCAUCUUCAUCAUGAUGGAACCAUGUGGUGGGUGGAUCAUAUUCCACCAUGGCCAUCGUCUUCUACAAAGGGAGGAAGAAGUCGUCGAGAAUCGGCGCGUCAUCAUAAAUGGGACCUAGAACCAAAUGAGAAGACACAAUAGAGGUAGAGGUCAAGUUGUUAGAAAUGCAAAUGGUCUCACGAGACCUAUCAACUAUCUCACUCUCUCUAUGUGGUGGUUCACUCACUCCCUCAAAAUAGGUGCACUCAAAGUCUCAUAUGGUGGAGUCACUCAUCUUACUCAAGUGGUGGGGGUUGUGGGUCUCCUCACAUGGGAAUUGGGGCAACUCGUCAUAUAUGGGGCUAGUGGUGAAGUCACUCUCACUCUCAAUAUGGUGGCAAAAGUCACUCAAGUCAUCAUACGUCGCCGUGGUCGAAGGGAGAAUCCCAUGCUCAACCAUCUCUUCGUCGUUGCCGUGGAUGAAGGCCGAAGAUGGCACAUCAUCACUCUCCUCCAUGACUGAAGGGAAAAUCCCAUGCUCGAUCAUCUCAUCGCUGUCGUCGUGGAUGAAGGCCGAAGAUGGCACAUCAUCACUCUCGCCUCCUAAGAUGGAAGCAUCAUCCUCGCUCGCCACCUUGUCGCUCGCCUCCAAAGCUUGGUCCUUGAGGGUCUCCGUAGUCGUACUCAUCGCCGCACCGUCUCGAAAAAGAGUCAAAGUAGACUCGGCACCAUCAAUGCCACAAAGAGGGAUGGCGGUGAAGUCGAACUUGGGAGCAUCAUCUUGGAGCUCGUCGGGCUUGUACAUCUUGGUGGUACUAUCCUCAUGCUCGUUCUCAUGGAGCUUGGUCGCCGCGAAGUUUGCUCGGGGUGGAGAAGCCUUUGCCUUCAUGAGUUCUUGUUCCGCCUUGAGAGCACCAAUGUAGUUGUCGUCGAUGGACUUGUAGUUCUUGAGGAAGAUAGUCUUGGAGAUGUCACUGUGCAAUCCCAUCAUGAAGUGGAACUUCAUCGAAAUGGGGUCGUCCACGUCGGCUCGUCGCAAGGCAAUCUUCAUCUCCUUGAAGUAUGCGUCGAUGGACUUGGAUACUUGGAUGGUGUUCUCCAAUUGGCAUCGAAGUUGUUCCGUGUAGGUUGGAGGCACGAACUCUCGCUGCAAAGCUCUCUUCAUCUCGGGCCAACUCAUGUCGUAGUACUCCGAAGGUGUGUGAAGCCACCAUGCCGAUGCAUAGUCGUCGAAGUUUCUUGUGGCGAACUUCACUUGAUCUUCAGGACGAACUUGAUGUAGCUUGAGGUAGUCGUCCAUCAAACGCUCAAGAUCACAAGGUACAUGAACAACAAAAGGAAAGAUACAAGGUAAGGUUCAUCUCCAAGAGGAGGUCUUGAUGAUAUCCUAGACAGAUCUUCCCACGAGGGGGUCUUGAUGAUUUCCCGCAGGAUCUUCUCCUAAUGGAGGUCUUGGCCUCCAAUGGAGUAGUGGUUUCUCUCUGUCUCUCUCAAGAGUAGAGAUAGGCAGGAGCAAAGCUCACAUAAAAAUGAGCUAUCACUUUGCUAACCCUAACUAGAGGAAGGGGAUGGAGUAUAUAUAGGCUAGUCCACGAAGGGGUAAGUGAGGAGGGGAUACAUGGGCCUCUGGCCCGUCUCUGCGCGCAGGCAGGCGCCGGAUGUGUGGGCUAGGGCCUGGAUGUCCGGGCUCUCGUGAGACGCCGGAUGUCCGGGGCGGUUGGCCAGAUGUCCGGCCCGAAGUGACCAAGCUACUGGAUAGGGGCGCCGGAUUUCCGGGGGAGAGCGCCGGAUGUCCGGUGGUUGCCGAGGCGCUGGAUGUCCGGGCACACUGGCCGGAUGUCCGGACACUGAUGCUUCGGCCGUCGUGUUGGUGCAGCUCCUCGGAGGCUGCACAGGCGCCGGAUAUCCGGCCUCUGGCCCGGAUGUCCGGCCGCUGUAGCUUCAGCAGCUCUCUCUUCUUCCGUCGUCGCUUCUAGGCUUCCCUUGCGGAUGGUGUAGUUGUUCCUUGGCGCUUUCACUCCUCCUCGACAUCCGUGAAGCUCCUACAAUACCUAUGCAUGCACACGGGAGAAGUGUCAAGUAGUAUACCAUCCUCGAAGGGGUCAAGUGAGCACGUGUAAAGGAAAAGAUUCACCUUUUUGUAUGAGAAGUAUAGGUCGCACGUGUCACUUGCCAAACGGACUCUUGACAUGGUGAUGACCGUAGGAUGCUCCACAUCAUCCCCUCCCCCUUGGAAAAUAUCCGACCUCGGAUUGAAAACCAAAUCACCAGGGGAAAUAGAUGGCUGUGCCGUGUCGAAGUGGUCGAUCACCAAGCACUCAUCGUCUAGUAGCUCAAAAUGGGCACUCGCCAAUGUCACGCCAUUUUGUGAUUCCUUCAAAAGGAGCAAAUAGAACAAACACUUGGAAAAACAAAUGUGGUUAGCGUUAGUACAAAACCAAGCAUUCAAGAGGUGAUUCACCAAAAAAGUGUCGUCAUUAAGCAUAUCAUAGGGUGUGACAAAGGAUUGUGACAUGACAUUUAUGCAUAUGAAUUGAGCAAAAUCAAGGUCAUCGUGGAAACAAGCAUGUAAAUGUGAGGUAGAGAUGCAAAUAUGUGUGACAAGAGAAUAAGCGUCUACCUCAAGGUCAUAGCAACCAUGCAUCAAGCACUCAAUGAAAGGUCUAUGGUAGGCAUAAGAAUUAUUCACAACACCAAAGAAAAUGAAGUGUCUAAACACAUGGGACAAGUGAAAGACAAUCCAAGCAUAACGUGCAUAGGGUGUAGUGAAUAUAGUGUGGCACUCAACAUAAUAGGAAGGGCAAUUGUUCAUCAUGUGUGAGGCAAUCAAGUUAAGCAUGUGACAAGCAAUGGGACAUGGCAUAUGUGAAGAAGUGACAUUGUUGCAACCAAACAUAUGAUAGUAGCAAGUAGUCCAAGAAUUGGAUGCAACACACAAGGUAUAUAUGUCAUGAGGCAUAGAAAUGUGAAAAUUACAAGUCAAAGCAAGAUCUCUGACAUGUGCGCAAUCAAGUGGUCUAAGAUGACCAACAAGUCUCAUGUUGCAAGCAACACAAGUAGUAUGAUCCACAAUAUCCAAGCUCAAGAAAGAUGUCACCUUGAAGGCAUGACCUUGUGCAUUCUUCACAAUGCCGAAGUGGUAGGAAGUAUGGUGUAGGAGUGAGUCGUGGUAGAAUAUAUGAGGCUCGCUCUCAACAGCUCGAAUGGUCAACUCACGUGAAGUGGAAGUCGACACAGUCCUAGUAUCCUACACAUGCACAAAACAAAACAAAGAAUGUAUGCGCAUGGUAGAUAAACACAUCAUCCAUCAUGAUGGUUCUCUUCUCUUGCACAUAACCAUUAGAAGAACAAGUGCAAGAAUAAUAUGAUGCAACAAUGGCUAUAUUCAUGGCACUAGGCAUAUGGUGCAAAGAGGUAGGACAAGCAUGCUUCAUAAGUAAUAUGUCAAAGUCUCCAAAUAUAUGUGAGAAUGCUAUGGGGGCAAUCUCAUGAGCAAGACUAUAAGCAUUGUUGCACUCAAUACAUGGCAAGUCAUCUAGCAUGAGAGAGGCAACACAUGGAGAUAUAUGACAAGAAGCAAUAUGAAUCAUGUGCAAAGCAUAUAGAUGGUUGUCAUCAACCGCAUGAAAUGAGCAAGUAUGAGUCAUUGGUGAUGCAACAUAAGCAAGCAUAGUAAUCAAGUCGGGCAAACUAGUGGAGCAAAGAUGCAACACACUAGAAGAAAUCAUGGCAAUCAUGUCAUGUGAGCAAAUAAUAGGCAUCGGGAAUGCACAUGACAUAUCGCAAGCACAAACACAAAGCAAGAUAAAAGUAUCAUCAUAGGAAUGGUGCACAAAAGGAACAUGGCAAGAACAAGCAAUAUCUCCACCAAGCUUGCAAAUACACAUACAAGUACUAGAAUCAGUCAUCAUGUGUAAUGCAAAGCAUGGGUCACAAAUGCAUGUCAAAGGCAUAGGAAUGAGCAUAUCAUGCAAAGUGAACAUGGAAAGAUGGGCAAAUGAUAUAUAAUGGACAAUAAGCCAUAACCAUGUGAGGGACAUGUAGAAGAAAUGCGCGAAGUGUUUGCGCAAAGAGAGCAGUGGGAAAGACAAUCCACGUGAUCCCAAGUCAUCAUUGCUCUCUAGAGCUUGUUUUGUCAACUCAUGGGAUUGCGAGGUUGACAAGUAUUCAUGGGUACCUACACAGAAGAGACAAAAACCAAAGAAAUUGUGCGCGUGGUAAAUGUACACACCAUCCAUCAUGAUGUGGAUGCGCAUAUGUGAGUUAGCACAAUAUAAGCAUCGCUUAAAGAAAUUUGAUGCAUGGUAUAUGAACAUGUCAUCCAUCAUGAAAGAAUAGUUAUUAUGUAUGACACGUUGGGGACACAAAUUGAGAAUGCAAGUAUAUGGAACAUCAAUAGCAUUUUCAUUCAAUGGAAUCAUAGGGUGCACAUAAUUAUUGGGAUCAUGCAAUGGAUGGGAUGGAUCAAAAUCUCCUAACAUGUAUGAGGAAACUACGGGGGUCUCCUCAUGAGAAAUAUCGGAAACAUCAUAUGGAGAAAAUGGACAACAUCCAAAACAAUGCAUAUCCGAAGCUAGGUGGUCAUGGCAUGGCAUAUAGAUAAAUGAUGCAAAGGGAGCAUAUCAAUAUCAUCACAAGAAAAACAAAUGCCAAUAACCAUGGGUUUUUCAUCUAUGCCAUAUGUGCAAAUUAUUUUUAUUUUAAUGGCAUAUGCAUAGUCACUAUGAAGAGAUUGCAAAUAAGACAUAUGGUUGAUCUCAUGCAUAGCAUAUGACAAGUCAAGCGGAUUAUCAAACAUGAUGUGACCAAGGGAAUUGUCACAAGAAAUCCUAUGUAACAUGGCAUCACAACUAAUAGACUCCACAUGAGAAUCAUCAUAAUCAUCAUAAAUGGGCAAAUCAUCACAUGGGGAAAUCAUGCUCGCAUGAAACAUGGUACUAGGUGGAUUAACAUCAUGCAAGCAAUCAAUGUCGAGAAUGUCCAUUAGUCGGACAAGAGCAUCACCUUCACCUAUGUUACCUAGUUCAUUCCACUCAAGUGGUGUAGGUGAGGUGGGAAAGACCAAAUGGUGGUCUUCUUCAUCUUGAUGGAACCAUGUGGGGGUGCAUCAUAUUCCACCAUGGCCAUUGUCUUGUCCAAAGGGAGGACGAAGUCGUCGAGGAUCGGCGCGUCAUCAUAAAUGGGACCUAGAACCAAAUGAGAAGACACAAUAGAGGUAGAGGUCAAGUUGUUAGAAAUGCAAAUGGUCUCACGAGACCUAUCAACUAUCUCACUCUCUCUAUGUGGUGGUUCACUCACUCCCUCAAAAUAGGUGCACUCAAAGUCGCAUAUGGUGGAGUCACUCAUCUCACUCAAGUGGUGGGGGUUGUGGCUCUCCUCACAUGGGAAUUGGGGCAACUCGUCAUAUAUGGGGCUAGUGGUGAAGUCACUCUCACUCUCAAUAUGGUGGAAAAAGUCACUCAAGUCAUCAUACGUUGCUAUGGUCGAAGGGAGAAUCCCAUGCUCAACCAUCUCAUCGUCGUCGCCGUGGAUGAAGGCCGAAGAUGGCACAUCAUCACUCUCCUCCACGACCGAAGGGAAAAUCCCAUACUCGAUCAUCUCAUCGCUGUCGCCGUGGAUGAAGGCCGAAGAUGGCACGUCAUCACUCUUGCCUCCUAAGAUGGAAGCAUCAUCCUAGCUCGCCACCUUGUCGCUCGCCUCCAAAGCUUGGUCCUUGAGGGUCUCCGUAGUCGUACUCAUCACCGCACCAUCUUGAAAAAGAGUCAAAGUAGACUCGGCACCAUCAAUGCCACAAAGAGGGAUGGCGGUGAAGUCGAACUUGGGAGCAUCAUAUUGGAGCUCGUCAGUCUUGGACAUCUUGGUGGUACUAGCCUCAUGCUCGUUCUCAUGGAGCUUGGUCGCCGCAAAGUUUGCUUGGGGUGGAGAAGCCUUGGCCUUCAUGAGUUCUUGUUCCGUCUUGAGAGCACCAAUGUAGUAGUCGUCGAUGGACUUGUAGUUCUUGAGGAAGAUAGACUUGGAGAUGUCGUUGUGCUAUCCCAUCAUGAAGUGGAACUUCAUCGAAAUGGGGUCGUCCACGCUGGCUCAUUGCAAGGCAAUCUUCAUCCCCUUGAAGUACGCAUCGAUGGACUUGGAUCCUUGGAUGGUGUUCUCCAAUUGGCGUCGAAGUUGUUCCAUGUAGGUUGGAGGCACGAACUCUCGCCGCAAAGCUCUCUUUGUCUUGGGACAACUCAUGUCGUAGUACUCCGAAGGUGUGUGAAGCCACCAUGCCGAUGCAUAGUCGUGGAAGUUUCUUGUGGCGCACUUCACUUGAUCUUCGGGACGAACUUGAUGUAGCUUGAGGUAGUUGUCCAUCAAACGCUCCCACUCAAGAUACUCCUCGGGUUCUGGAGUACCAUAGAAAGGAAUCUCAUUGUCGGUGUCGAGGUCGUAGUAGCUCAUGGAAGUCGCGGACUUGAGCUUGGGGAGCUUCUCUUGAGCGUAGUAUUGAGGUGCUUGUUGGCAAAUAUGCCGUAUGUCCAUAGGCGAAAAUGCCUUGAAGUCGCUUGGCGAAGAUGCCAAGGGAGAUGGUGAAGUCGUUGAACGGUUGUUGGUGUUGAUCUCUUGACCUUCAUGUUCUUGUUGGUGAUGGUGUCGAUGCCGAUGUGAUCUUGCCGGAGAUGGUAGCUCGGAAGGAUGUGCUUUUGAGCGUCUUCUCAAAGAUGAGGAAGAUAGCUUGUAGGACUUGAUGAGGGCUUUGAUCUCCUCCAUUUUAGCAUGCAUCUUGGCGUCGGAUUUGUUGUUCGUGGCAUCGAACUCAUCGUUGUUGUUGUAGACCGAAGGUGAAAUGCCUUGCCUAUCCAUCACAAGACUCGAGUAGAGGUGAGUAGGAAAUGAGAUAAACAAUACCAAGUUACCUUUUCCCAAAGUUGAGGAUGUAUCCCGUUUCACUCAAUGUGAAUGAAAGAAUAGUGGAAUUGGUACCAGACUUGUUCACUCACACCUAUCAAGUAAAGCUUAUGGUAGAGCUCUGUGAGGAUAGUGGCAAAAAAAUUUGAUGCAAAAUGUUAGCAAGAGUCAAUAAUGUUAAAAGAGAUUCACAAAUUUGCAAGCGAAACAAGUAGACCAAUAGCAAUAUGUGGCACACGGAAACACACACACGGAUAGAUAAAUGGGGUCGUGCAACCAUGGAAUGAGCACAAAAUGUGGAAUCCACGGAAAACGCUUGUGUUGCACAACUCAGGAGAGACGCUAGCACGAUUGCUCAAUAGGCGGAUAUGACACUUGUGCACAGCCUAUAAGAUGCAAAAUGGAUAAACUUUCUAUCCCAAGUAUGCUAUAUAUGUAUGGUUCCCGGUGUUUCUCACGCAAUGAUCCAAGAUGAUCAAGUAUGAUACCAUAUGAUAUAUUUUGAUGCUAUGGCUACUGCUUACAAGCUCUUUGCUCUCUUUCUUUUGCUUAAAAGCUUUAUUUCUUUUUUAUAUGGCCACUUUGGCACAAUGCACAAACCAAGAUAGCAAUUGUGUAUAUGCGGGAACAAACUUGUGACACAAGAUAUGAUACCAAUAUAUGCACCACGAUGAUAUGGUAUCAUGAGCCACGUUUAUCACGUAUUUGGAGUCCCUCCCAUCAUUUUCUAGCCUUCUUUUGCUUGAUUUCGUCUUAAAUCCGAAAAUCCCCACCAAAAAUACCCCAAUUUUUUUUUUUGAUUUGUUGGUUUGAUGAUGUUUUGUUGAUUUUGAUCCGUGGAUUUGCUUUGUUUCAAGUGGAUCUAGCUUUCCCCCAAGUUUCCCCACCUUCCAUCCACGAAAUCCAUCAAAUUUUGCCCCCGAAAUCAUCAAUUUGGUUGUUGGUGUUGAGCUCUUGACCUUCACGUUCUUGUUGGUGAUGGUGUAUAUGCUGAUGUGAUCUUGCCGGAGAUGGUAGCUCGGAAGGAUGUGCUCUUGAGCGUCUUCUCGAAUAUGAGGAAGAUCGCUUGUAGGACUUGAUGAGGGCUUUGAUCUCCUCCAUUUUAGCUUGCAUCUUGGCGUUGGAGUUGUUGUUCGUGGCAUCGAACUCAUCAUUGUUGUUGUAGACCGAAGGUGAAAUGCCUUGCCUAUCCAUCACAAGACUCGAGUAGAGGUGAGUAGGAAAUGGGAUAAACAAUACCAAGUUACCUUUUUCCAAAGUUGAGGAUGUAUCCCGUUUCACUCAAUGUGAAUGAAAGAAUAGUGGAAUUGGUACCGGACUUGUUCACUCACACCUAUCAAGUAAAGCUUAUGGUAGAGCUCGGUGAGGAUAGUGGCACAAAAAUUUGAUGCAAAAUGUUAGCAAGAGUCAAUAAUGUUGAAAGAGAUUCAAAAAUUCACAAGCGAAACAAGUAGACCAAUAGCAAUAUGUGGCACACGGAAACACACACACGGAUAGAUAAAUGGGGUCGUGCAACCAAGGAAUGAUCACAAAAUGUGAAAUCCAUGGAAACCGCUUGUGUUGCACAACUCAAGAGAGACGCUAGCACGAUUGCUCAAUAGGCGGAUACGACACUUGUGCACAACCUAUAAGAUGCAAAAUGGAUAAACUUUCUACCCCAAGUAUGCUAUAUAUGUAUGGUUCCCGGUGUUUCUCACACAAUGACCCAAGAUGAUCAAGUACGAUACCAUAUGAUAUAUUUUGAUGCUAUGGCUAUUGCUUACAAGCUCUUUGCUCUCUUUCUUUUGCUUAAAAGCUUUAUUUCUUUUUUUAUGGCCACUUUGGCACAAUGCACAAACCAAGAUAGCAAUUGUGUAUAUGCGGGAACAAACUUGUGACACAAGAUAUGAUACCAAUAUAUGCACCACGAUGAUAUGGUAUGUAUGCUAUGGGAAAUAUGAUCACUAAUGUGCACAGGUCACGUUGCCGGCAAUACGCAAAUAGCUAGUCUCGAUAGCAAGUAACGCAAAAUGGGCUAGGGUGUUAUCAAUGCAAUUGCAAGGGUAAUGUACAAUGGUGUCGUCGAGGAUACCGUCCUUGGAAAUGAUGAUAGGCGGAGUUGCCAAUGUCGACCCGUUCCUAGUUAGCCGAAACACCCUAGGAAAUGGAAAAACCACAACUCAAAAUCUCCAAAGGCAAAAUGUCAAAUGGUGGUAGCGGAAAGCGGUGGUGGUUUUGCACGAGGCAAUGAGGACGUGUAAAGGUGGGCUAUACAUGUGUUGGAUUUGAAGUUGUCGUCCCUAAGUAGCCGAAACACCUUUGGAGACACAAGCCACAACUCAAACAAAAUUGGGUUAAGUUGGGGUGGAAAUAUAUGGUGGGCACGUCUAUGCGGAAGUGGAGGUGGUGGUUGAUGAAUAUGCAAUUGUCCCUAAGUAGCUGAAACACCUUAGGAGACGCGAAUCACUACUCAAGCAACCACUAAUGCUAAGGGCUAGGUUGAGCUUGUUUGAGUUGAUCAAGAUGCGUUAGGUUGCGGAAGUCAGUGGUGGUGUAGCGGAUGAUGUGGUGGAAGCCCUAGGCAAAGAUGCCAAAAUGCACAAACUUUGAUGGAGUCAAAUGAUGCUGGUGGUAUUUUUGCGGGAUGGGGGAUGUCAAUAGCUUCAAAACGAGCUAAAGAACGUCAAAAUCGAACUCUGGAUGAAUUAGUUAUGGUCAAAACGGUGAAACACGGAAGGCUGAAAUGCCAGGGACCGGAUAUCCGGCGGUACGGACCGGAUUUCCGGGCGUGUAUGUCCAGAACCGUGCAGAUUUGGUGCUCCAGGGCUCGAAUGUCCGGCUUGAGGCCCAGAUGUCCGGCCCGAUGGCCCGGAUGUCCGGCCAGGCGAUUCCAGAUCUCGUUUGGGGCGGAAAUUUUCGAAUUGGAGGCGGAAAUUGAUGAUUCCAGGGGCAAAAUUUGAUGGAUUUCGUGGAUGGAAGGUGGGGAAACUUGGGGGAAAGUUGGAUCCACUUGAAACCAAGCAAAUCCACGGAUCAAAAUCAACAAAACAUCAUCAAACCAAGAAAUCACAAAAAAAAUUGGGGCUAUUUUUGGUGGGGAUUUUUGAAUUUAGGACGAAAUCAAGCAAAAGAAGGCUAGAAAACGAUGGGAGGGACUCCAAAUACGUGAUAAACGUGGCCCAUGAUACCAUAUGAUAUGGGGCUAACCCGGUGUAGGCCAAUCUUUCACGUUUGGAGUGGGAUCCCUCGAAGAACACAAAGAACACGGGGAAGAACGGGGAGAAAUCACAAGGGGAAACACUCAAGAACAAGUCCAAUCACACAUCCACUAGACAAUCAAACACAUAAGAUCACAAGGUACAUGAACAUCAAAUGGAAAGAUACAAGGUAAGGUUUAUCUCCAAGAGGAGGUCUUGAUGAUAUCCUAGACGGAUCUUCCCAUGAGGGGGUCUUGAUGAUAUCCCGCAGGAUCUUCUCCUAGAUGGAGGUCUUGGCCUCCAAUGGAGUAGUGGUCUCUCUCUCUCUCAAGAGUAGAGAUAGGUAGGAGC